rnacentral:lncRNA from 1 species
CUGUUCUUUUAAAACUACAAGGAAGAAGAAACGGAGUGGGCUCGGGAAAUGUUGAAAGAGCAGCACUCCAUUCAUCAUAGCACUGCUGAAGAGACCAGCUCUAUGCGACAUUGCCAGAAUUUCCAUCACAGGAAGCUGGACUGUGCUGGAGGAGUUCCCAUUCCGUCAGAAGAAUGGAUCCACCUUUCAGUGGGAUAGCACCAUCAUCGUACGUCUCCAUCAGUCUUCAAGGUCACAAUGCACACUUUUGCAAACAAAUUGAGAUGUCAGGAGGCCCCUCCACGUCGCCCUGAAACUCUGCGGCCAUCGUCUUCACCUCCAGACAAAGAUGCCCACUUUUCUUUCUCUGCAGGGUUGGUCUGCAAACAGAAGAUGCAUCUGCCUGCAGCGGCCUGUGGGGAGUAAAGGCCUCUCUCCAG